CUAGAACUCAUCAUUUUCAAUGGAAAUUUUUCUCCUUUCUUGAGCCUCAUUUAUUGUCUGUCACUGCUGAAAAGAAUUGUCCUCCCACCUCUAACCAUGACCACCACUACCACCAUCACCAAUCCCCACUGAAACACACAUUUCCUUACAACUAUGCCCAACUCUGUGGGCCACGGAGUCCAAGGAAGAAAAGGUGACAAAGAUCAAGAUACUGGGAGAAUGAAGUCUUCUCUUUGCCAAAACUCUGACCUGGGCAUCUCUUCCAACUUUCCUACUCGAUGUGGACCAGAACAUUCUUGUCCAGCAUUACUAAACCCUUGCUGGAUAUGAUUGUCUAGUCUGAUGUUAAAUUCACAAGUCUAUUUGGCUUUCUCACCAAGCCAUAUCUUCUGUGGUGUUCCUUAAAAGCAAUAAACAUACAUUGGUGUAGAUAUGCUCUUCCUUUGCUUUUUUCUUAAUUUUUCAGGAUAAUAGAGUAGGUGUCCAUUCAUACUUUUAGCAGGAAUUGUGAAAUUUUUAAUGAAAGUUGGACCUUAUCAAAUACUUUUGCAACAUCGACUAGAGAUAAUUUAAUUAUCUCUCUUUUUUUGUUUUGUUACUCUUUUCACAAAUAGACACCAAUGUGGGGCUUAAUAAAUCAUUUUUGCAUUAAAUUAUAAUUAAAUGUUUAAAUGUUUAUGAGUAAAUGGAGUUAUCAUAAAAAG
rnacentral:lncRNA from 1 species